GGCGGGGUAGCUCAGUUGGUUAGAGCAGCGGAAUCAUAAUCCGCGUGUCGGGGGUUCGAAUCCCUCCCCCGCUACCA
rnacentral:tRNA from 2 species